GGGCCCGCACAAGCGGUGGAGCAUGUGGCUUAAUUCGAGGCAACGCGAAGAACCUUACCUGGUCUUGACAUGCCCGUCAUAGUUUUCCGAAAGGAAUUCGUCAGUUCGGCUGGACGGUGCACAGGUGCUGCAUGGCUGUCGUCAGCUCGUGUCGUGAGAUGUUCGGUUAAGUCCGGCAACGAGCGCAACCCUCGUUUCCAGUUGCCAGCGGGUAAUGCCGGGGACUCUGGAAAGACAAACCUCUUGUUGAGGUGGGAAGGUGGGGACGACGUCAAGUCAGUAUGGCCCUUACGACCAGGGCUGCACACGUGCUACAAUGCCCGGCACAAUGGGAUGCAAUAUCGCGAGAUUGAGCAAAUCCACAAAACCGGGCCCAGUUCGGAUUGGAGUCUGCAACUCGACUCCAUG
rnacentral:rRNA from 1 species